UCGGCGGGAGUUGUAGUCCCCGCCUAAGGGGGAGGUGGGCCGCAGGCAGGCGGGGUGCCGGGCGUGUGAUUAGAUAAACACGGUGGUCUCCUACUCAGAAAAAAAAAACAACAGUACAGUCAGAAAGAGGAAGGAUAUGCACAAUAAUUAUGCACAAUAAAUAUGCACAAUAAUUAUGACAACAUAGAAUGUGACAUGCUGCUUGUGCCUCGUGCCAGCAGCACCAUUUGAGCAGAGCCCCACACUGCCCACUUUCAUUGCAGGGGAGUUGGACCCGGUGACCUUUAAAAGUCCCUUCCAACUCCAACGAUUCUAUGAUUGCUGCCACGUGACAGAGUUUUCAGCAGUGGUUAUGAAACGUGAGCAGUGAUGCUGCAGCCAUUUUGUCCCUGGGGAACUGAGGCAGGCAGUGUAUAAGUCACUGUGGUAUGGAAUGCAGUGGUGAUGGCACAACCUGUCUCACAGAGAGCUGUGCUACUGGCUGCAGUCUGCCUUGGAAAGAAUUCAUUGUUUGGGCGCGUGAAGAUUCCUCUGCUGCACUUCUCCUCUUGGUUCAGCUUUGCCAAGCUCUGUUCCUGUUUUUCUGAGUGGAGUAUUAUUUUCUGGAACCCCCGUCUUCAUCCUUUCUCUUGGAAGGAGAUUUACCAGGAAACAGCAGGGCAGUUUUUACAAGACAAAAGGAAUUACAGCUUUCACUGAAGGUUUGCUGGAACAUCUCAUUCUGAUCCUGCAGUGCUGCGCCAUUCAGUUCAAGUCAGGUUGAGCAUGACUUAUAAAUGAGAUCAGAAGCAGAGAGAAUGAGAGAAUCCUCAUGCAUGUUCCUUCCUGCUGGUACCAGGCAGAGCCAUUAAAACCCCAUGUUCGCCCAAGUGAGCUCCAACCCAUGUCAUUGCCAUUGAAGAGCUUUAUAAAUUCUUAAGUUAAAUAAAAAACAACCUGCUC